GAGUUUGAUCAUGGCUCAGAAUCAACGCUGGCGGCGUGCCUAACACAUGCAAGUCGCACGAGAAAGUGGAGCAAUCCAUGAGUAAAGUGGCGCACGGGUGAGUAACACGUGAAUAAUCUACCUCCGAGUGGGGAAUAACUGAGAGAAAUCUUAGCUAAUACCGCAUAACACUUACGAGUCAAAGCAGCAAUGCGCUUGGAGAGGAGUUCGCGGCCGAUUAGCUAGUUGGCGGGGUAAUGGCCCACCAAGGCGAUGAUCGGUAUCCGGCCUGAGAGGGCGCACGGACACACUGGAACUGAAACACGGUCCAGACUCCUACGGGAGGCAGCAGUGGGGAAUUUUGCGCAAUGGGGGAAACCCUGACGCAGCAACGCCGCGUGGAGGAUGAAAUCCCUUGGGAUGUAAACUCCUUUCGAUAGGGAAGAUAAUGACGGUACCUAUAGAAGAAGCCCCGGCUAACUUCGUGCCAGCAGCCGCGGUAAUAC
rnacentral:rRNA from 1 species